rnacentral:rRNA from 1 species
GAUGAACGCUGGCGGCGUGCCUAAUACAUGCAAGUCGAGCGAACGGACGAGAAGCUUGCUUCUCUGAUGUUAGCGGCGGACGGGUGAGUAACACGUGGAUAACCUACCUAUAAGACUGGGAUAACUUCGGGAAACCGGAGCUAAUACCGGAUAAUAUUUUGAACCGCAUGGUUCAAAAGUGAAAGACGGUCUUGCUGUCACUUAUAGAUGGAUCCGCGCUGCAUUAGCUAGUUGGUAAGGUAACGGCUUACCAAGGCAACGAUGCAUAGCCGACCUGAGAGGGUGAGCGGCCACACUGGAACUGAGACACGGUCCAGACUCCUACGGGAGGCAGCAGUAGGGAAUCUUCCGCAAUGGGCGAAAGCCUGACGGAGCAACGCCGCGUGAGUGAUGAAGGUCUUCGGAUCGUAAAACUCUGUUAUUAGGGAAGAACAUAUGUGUAAGUAACUGUGCACAUCUUGACGGUACCUAAUCAGAAAGCCACGGCUAACUACGU